UACGUAGGGGGCGAGCGUUGUCCGGAAUUACUGGGCGUAAAGAGCUCGUAGGUGGUUUGUCUCGUUGUUCGUGAAAACCGGGGGCUUAACCCUCGGCGUGCGGACGAUACGGGCAGACUUGAGUACUGCAGGGGAGACUGGAAUUCCUGGUGUAGCGGUGGAAUGCGCAGAUAUCAGGAGGAACACCGGUGGCGAAGGCGGGUCUCUGGGCAGUAACUGACGCUGAGGAGCGAAAGCGUGGGGAGCGAACAGG
rnacentral:rRNA from 1 species